rnacentral:tRNA from 1 species
GCGCGAUUGAUGUUAGCGGCUAGCAUGACUGGCUUCCACCCAGUACGCACCAGUUCGAAUCUGGUAUCACGCUCCA